rnacentral:tRNA from 1 species
GGCUCGUUGGUCUAGGGGUAUGAUUCUCGCUUGGGUGCGAGAGGUCCUCGGGUUCAAAUCCCGGUUGAGCCC